rnacentral:rRNA from 1 species
AUUGAACGCUGGCGGCAUGCUUUACACAUGCAAGUCGAACGGCAGCACGGACUUCGGUCUGGUGGCGAGUGGCGAACGGGUGAGUAAUACAUCGGAACGUGCCCAGUUGUGGGGGAUAACUACUCGAAAGAGUAGCUAAUACCGCAUGAGAACUGAGGUUGAAAGCAGGGGAUCGUAAGACCUUGCGCAACUGGAGCGGCCGAUGGCAGAUUAGGUAGUUGGUGGGAUAAAAGCUUACCAAGCCGACGAUCUGUAGCUGGUCUGAGAGGACGACCAGCCACACUGGGACUGCGACACGGCCCAGACUCCUACGGGAGGCAGCAGUGGGGAAGUUUGGACAAUGGGCGAAAGCCUGAUCCAGCAAUGCCGCGUGCAGGAUGAAGGCCUUCGGGUUGUAAACUGCUUUUGUACGGAACGAAAAGCUUCGGGCUAAUACCCUGGAGUCAUGACGGUACCGUAAGAAUAAGCACCGGCUAACUACGUGCCAGCAGCCGCCGCGGUAA